rnacentral:ncRNA from 2 species
AUAGAAAAAGGGAAUGAAGUUCUCCCUGGCAUUAGCCAAACCGCUUGUUAAGCUGAUGACUUCUGCAACUUA